GGAAUCCGGUGCGAGUUCGGAACUGCCGCGCAGUGGUGAGGGUGAUCAGCGGAACAACGCGCCACAGGACCGAGCGGCCUGGGAAGGCGUUCCGCAUGGUACCGGCUUCGCGGGCUUGGUCGUUCCGCACCUCAUCCGGAUGGCGGUCAGUCCGGCGAC
rnacentral:ncRNA from 2 species